rnacentral:misc_RNA from 1 species
GAUGAAGAACGUAGCGAAAUGCGAUACUUGGUGUGAAUUGCAGAAUCCCGUGAACCAUCGAGUCUUUGAACGCAAGUUGCGCCCGAAGCAACUAGGCCGAGGGCACGCCUGCCAGGGCGUCACACGCCGUUGCCCCCCCAUCUACUCCUUCGGGAUUGCGGGGGGGCGGAUGAUGGCCUCCCGUGCGCCUAGCCGCGCGGUUGGCAUAAAUACCAAGUCCUCGGCGACGCACGCCACGACAAUCGGUGGUUGCGAAACCUCGGUUGCCCGUCGUGUGCGUUCGUCGCGCAUCGAGGGCUCGAAAAAAUGCUCGGCUCCGGCUGGGCUUUCAACGCGACCCCAGGUCAGGCGGGGUUACCCGCUGAAUUUAAGCAUAUCAAUAAGCGGAGGA